UCAAAAUAAUACUAUUGAACAUGAAAAAAGUUAAUUGUUAAAAGACACAGCAAGGUUCCUUAAUUUUGAAUAGUAUUAUUUCCAUGUUUGUAGCUGUUGUGUCUUCUGAGAUUAAAAUGUCCAAUAAGCUGGGUUUAUGACUAAGAAUGAAGAUCUGCAAAAUUUGUUAAGAGAUCUCAAAAUAAUACAAUUAAACCUGAUAAAAGGUUCAUUCUUUGAAUUGAUAUGGGAAAAUGCAGUUUCCAAUAGUAUUAGUGUCAAGUCUGUACGUAUUCCGCAUUCGGAGAUGAAUCACCAUUACGUGACACAGCACUGAGAUUAAUACUCGUUCUUCCUACCACCAAGUAGAUGACGGGGGUGGUAAAGAAUGAGUAAAAAAAUUCACUUAAUGGCAUGGAAUAUGUCAAGAUAUUUUUCCUCUCACACACAAAAAAAAUUAAUUGCAUUUCAUUUUUUAUUUUCUAGUAUUGCAGAGGGGAAAAUAGCCAGUCAAGCAUAGCAUUAGUGAAAUGUUUUGAUAAUUCGUCUCAUGAGGAGAAACAAAGUAAGGUAUAUUUACCAGCUACUGAUGAACAUGCAACAAGUAGUGAAACUGUAGAUAUUGAUAUACUGCCAUGGCCUGAAAUUGAAGAUGAUUUUCUUGUUUUCUUUUCUACUACUGAAGACCAUAUGGCAUUUCAAAACGUCUCUGGAUCAUGGUUUAUUAGCAGCCUUUGCAAGGGGCUAACUAAAAAUAAAAAUUGUGAUAUUCUCCAUA